AAAGACUUUAGGAAAGGUGGUGCCAAUCACAUUCUACCUCCUGGAAAAAGACAACCUUGCCUCCUCUACCGGUGCUCAGGCUGGGAAGUUGGGUUGUAGAGGGGAAGCCAGGCAGAAAUGAUCCCCAAACCUGCCUGUGUUGGGUCACAGAAAUAGGCACCGAGGCUUUGCUAGCCUCACAAAUAGGGAAGGCUGUAACAACCAGCCAUUUCUGCUGAUGCUUUUGCUGGUAUACAUCUCAUUGGAAUAUCAUUCCAAGAUUCAAAAAAGAAAAUCAAACUCUGCAUAAACCAGUAAGGUAAAGUGAAGCAAAAAUUCAAGCAUGACUAAAACAAUAUCAGGUCUCUGAUGAAAAUAAAGAAUGUUUCAGAAGCAUGGUCAACCUGAAAUAGUCACCCAAUGGGUAAGGCUGAGCUUGCUGUUAGUGUCCAGGGAUCCAUCAGUCCUCAUGAAGACCUUCAGUACAGGAAGGAAGGAGAUGGAACUAAAAUGAAAACUCUUGGAAACAGAACCCACAGAAGACAAAAAGAUGGAGACUAUGUGUCCAGUGAAGAGACUGAAAAGACUCAGUAAAAUAACUCCACCAAACCAUGAAAGUCAAUCCUCCUCUAUUUAACAUAAACAUAGUGAUGGAAAUGUAACCAAUAUUGCUUUUACUAAACAGCCUAGUUAGAAAGAAGGAAGGAAGAGAAAUGAGGGAAGAAAGGGGGAGUGAGGGAGAGAGGAAGGAAUGGAGGGAGGAGAAGGAGGAAGAAGAGGGAAGGAAUAGAGAUAGAUGCAAAGGUUCUCGAGAUGGAAAACGGGAGUAGUGACAAUACAAGCUGUAGAUUGUUGGGAGUGACUCAUGAGGUACCAUCUCAGGAACUUGAGAUAGGGAUUUUCAAAUACUCUCAAGACAGGAGAUGAGGCCUGUCUUAGUUUAGGUUUUUAUCGCUGAGACAAAACAUCAUGACCAAAGCUACUUAGGGAGGAAAGAGUUAAUUCAGUUUAUACUUUUACAUUACAGUUCAUCAUCAAGGGAAGUCAGGAUAAGAACUUAAGCAGGACAGGGACCUGGAGACAGGACAUGAUGCAGAUGCCAUAGAGGAAUGCUGCUUCUGUCUUGCUCCCCAUGCUUUGCUCAGCAAGCUUUCUUAUAGAACCCAGGACCACCAGCCCAGGGAUGGCAUCACCCAUAAUGGGCUGGACCCUCUCCCAUCAAUCACUAAUUAAGAAAAUGCCCCCGAGCUGGAUCUUUGGAGACAUUUUCUCAAUUGAGGGUCCCUCCUCUCUGUUGAAUCUAGUUCAUGUCAAGUGGACGUAAAACAAGCCAGCACAAGGCCUUAAGCCAAAGCCAAGCAGAGGCCUAAGAAAUCAAGCCAGCACCUGGAGAAUACUGCAUCCAUAGAGGAAAGAUGGAGAAGGAAGACAUACACACACUGCCAGCACAAAGAAGCAGGAAACAUCGGUCUAUACUUGACCUGUGGGAGUGGGGACAGGAGGCCUGGGUUUUCUUUGAGAAUGGGAAAGCUAAGGGCUUUCCUUUGCAUAGAUUUGGAAUCUGAAUUUUUUUGCUGCCCAGAGUCUAGAAAACACAUGCCUUGGGCUGAUGAUGUUCUAAUCACAUCCUAUGAACUCAUAACAGAAAUAAAUGCAGAACCACAGCCAAA